GACAGAGGGUGCAAACGUUGUUCGGAAUUACUGGGCGUAAAGCGCGUGUAGGCAGCCCCGCAAGUCGGAUGUGAAAGCCCUGGGCUCAACCUAGGAAGUGCAUUCGAUACUGCGAGGCUUGAGUCCUGGAGAGGAAGGCGGAAUUCUCGGUGUAGAGGUGAAAUUCGUAGAUAUCGAGAGGCACACCGGUGGCGAAGGCGGCCUUCUGGACAGUGACUGACGCUGAGACGCGAAAGCGUGGGGAGCAAACAGG
rnacentral:rRNA from 1 species